GAGGAGAGGUGGAGACAGGAGAGUCACUGGGAAGCUGUGGGUCAGCUAGCACAGGGGCAGGGACCACAAGAAGGAAAGUACUGAUUCAGUGUGGUAGAAGAAGAGAUUCCACUACCUCUGAAAGAUGCUCUUUGGCCUACAUACAUGUGCUGUGGAGGGCACGCGUGCGCACACACACACACACACACACACACACACACACACACACACACACACACACACACUUGCUCUAUCUCUCCGUGACACUCUAUCUCUGUCUCCCUCCACCCACAUACAUAUAUAUUUUUUUUUUAAAAUCUUUUAACUUGGUGUAGCACCAGUUUGGGGUUGGAGCCUUUAACGCAGAGCCCCAUUUUUUGUCACUACCUUGCCAUUCCUUUGUCCAUACCACCAGACCACGAGCCAUUGUGUGGAUCUGGCUGUGAGUGUUAUCCCGCCAUGUGGGCAUCUUUAUCUGUCUGACCACUGAUGGUCGCUUGUGUUGCUUUAGGCUCUCACCAUUAGCCAGGCAGCCGCAAUGCAUCCAUGGGUAUCUGCUUUCGUUUCUCCUGUGUGCUCACAGAGGGACAACAUGGCUGGGUGUGCUCAACCUUCCUAACACUGCCACCCUUUAACACAGUUCCUCACAUUGUGGAAACCUCCACCCAUAAAAUUAUUUUUGUUGCUACUUCAUAACUGUAAUUUUGCUACUGUUAUGAAUUGUAAUGUAAAUAUUUGAUGCUCACAAUAUCUGAUUCUGAUAUGCCACCCCCGCAAAUGGGUUGUUCAACUCCCCGAAGGGGUCGCGACCCACAGGUUGAGAACCACUGCUCUAAAGGGCUCCGAUAAGUACCCCUUCCCUCGCCUCAGUGCCUUUUUGGCCUUUAUUUUUUGUGUUUAAAAAUGUCAUCACAUUUAUUUAUUUAUUGUAUGUGCAUUGGUGUGCAUAAGCAUAGACAUGGCGUGACACACGUGUAGAGGUCAGAUGACAAGCAGUGGGGGUCAGUUUUCUUUCACCGUAAGUAGGUUCUGGGAGUCAGAUUCGGGUUGUCCAGCUCGGCAGCAAACACCUUUACCUGGUGAGUCAGUUUCCCAAUCCUCUCAGAUUUAAUUAUGUUCAAAGUGUAUUAUUUUGGGUGUGAGUGGAUGUACACAUAUAGGCGUGUGAUUUGUGGCAUGUAUUGGUGGCUAGGGGACAACAUUGUGGAGUCAUUUCUCUUUUCCCAGGGGUUGAGCUCAGACGAGCGCAUGCGUACGUGGAGAUGUGUACUAUCAUGCCUUUACCUGCUGAGCCAGCUCCUCUGAUUGAGCUCUGCCGUUCUACGUAGGCCACUCGUGAGCCUCCUAAAAGCAUCUCUUCUGCACACCUGUCCUGGGCAUCCAACCUGCUUCCCUAGCUAAGGUGCUCAUUGGCAGUGAGCUUUACACCAGAACUCCAAAUCCAGCAGGCAGCAGGGGUGCAGCAUGGGUGGAAAGGCUCCUGGGCCGUGGGUGAACCCUAGUGGUGGAGUAUAAACUUUUCAGGCCCCGAUACAGCAGUACCAACCAGACAAAACAGAUUGGGAAAGUGGUAGGGAGUGGUUUGUCACUGAGAUGCAAGCCGGUUCCUCUGGUCCCCUCUUCCCCAUUCCUUGCAUUGGUAGGGUACAUACAUUCAGGGACAGACAGACUUCUUCCUUCCUUCCAUCAUGGGCCUCUCCUUCGAACAGGACCUCUCUUUUCUGUUCUCCUCUCUUCCCUCCACCCCCCUUCCCCAGCCCAUCCAGUCUGCUCCACCUGCAUCCUGCUGCCAUGGUGAUCUCCUAACCGUGGGGAUGCAACCCAUCCCUCCCCACACUUGCAGCCCACUCCAGGCUUCCUUUGUAAGGAUCAAGUCCAGUGUAGCUGCAAGCUCAGAUCUGGCUCAGGCCCAAAAAGGAGGAAGGAGGGAACAGAUGGAGGGAAGAAAAUGGCGUGUGGCCUCAUGUCUCGUGCCAAAAUCCAGCAAUCAAAUGAGGAGACUCUUCAGGACCAAACUUGUAUAAUGCACUCUAUUUAAACGGCAUUUUGUAAUUCAAACGUCUUCAUUUAUACACUCGAGGCACCUCGUUGCGGGCUAAGAGUGCGGAUUCAGGUAGCAAUGGGUCCUCUGAGGCCGCACUUUAAUGAAGAGAUGAAAGUACCUUUUCAUUUGGACAGCAUUGUUUGCAUGGAAACCAAGCCUCUGAGGGGCUGGGAAGAGUUCUUUCUUGCAAGUAGGUUAAACACACCCCCUGCAAUCUUAUGAGCUGAGAGCCUGCUGGGCUCAGCUGUCCCUCACCCCUGCUGGAAAGAGACCAAGUGUGGGGUUAUGAAGUUUGUCCAGCUCUUGAAGCCACCGGGCUGCCUCCAAUGGCUGCUCUGCUGCCUCCUCUGCAGCCCCCCGUGUCUCCCUCAAACACCUGUUUCCCUCUCAGUUCAGAGUCAUGCCCACUGGUGCUGAUGCUUGCUUUGCCUUGGCAGAGCUAAUAAAAAUGGCCGUAAAGUCUCUGGCAGCCUUGGGUGCUGUUGGACAUUUGCUAAUAAGAGCUGCUUACUCCUUGUAGGAAAGCUAAAGGUGAAGUGCGGUUCCUGCCCUGUGUCUCGUCUCGUGUUUGUGCCUGUGCAAUUGGAAGAGUUUGGCCCGGGACUGGGAAUAAUUUAAUAUGGGCCAGUCGUCCAGAUGUGCACUUGCUCAGCCAGCCCCAGCUGUUCCCUGUCCCUAGCUGUCUUCCUAGCCUUCUAUCUUCCGCUUAGAGGCAACCUCCCUCAUAGUCCCUUUCAAUGUCCCAAGCCUGGGAGACAGACUAGUUACUGGUGGGAGAAUUGGGCCCCCGGGAGGUAUCUGGGGACAACAGGAAAGGAUACUGACAACUUGGCUGGGGGUGGGCUCCUCAGUGGAAGACCCCGCUUGGUGCUGGAUACAUUGAUCAACCUUAGGCAAGCACAGAAAUCCCCCUGGGAGCCUGCCAGCCAAAGGUGGGCCAAGGCAUCUCACAGGCUCUGCAGGGGGUGGGGGUGGGGAGCUGAGGCUACAGCUGGCCAGUGCACAUACCUGGGGUCUCCUGUUCUUGGUUCUCCCUGUGAUCUGGGACUUUCCUUCUGUUGAAAUUUGCCCAUAAAACAGGCUAGGUGGUUCCAGGUGGGGGCUUCUCCAACCCCCAAACCGGAAGGUAGAACUUGCAUAUGCUUGGACCAUAGCAGGUGCCAAUGGACAGAAUUAAAGGACAGAUGUCACAGCCCUUCAGGGUUCCCCUCAACCACGGGGGCUGUCAGAAAGCUAAUCACACACACAAACAUUCACACACUCACACACGCAUACACACACACACAUUCACGACAGCCUCUAUCCUGCUCUCUGGAGCCUCUCUGUUCCUAGCCACUUCUGCUAGCUUCAAUGCCUCCCUGACUUUCAUUCCCCCUAGAGAUGGACUUAGAGUCAAGCCUAGUCUAGAAGAAACACAGACUCUGGACCCAGGCCAAGGGCAGCAUGUGUCAUCUGACUUGAUGAAAGUCACCUGCAGUGGUGAUACUUGAGUCACCCUCAAGCACUGUGUGGGCACAUCCCUGAGCCACUUGGUAACAAAGAGGGAAGUUGAACUCCCAGAAGACAGGACAGAACAGUCUAGAAUUAAAAAUGGCGACGGCCUUACACCUACACACACCUCUUGUGACGCACCUCAAUUUUCUCUUUCAGAAAGCCCUUUGCAAAAGCCCGCUGGAGAAGGGUGGAUUCACAAAGGUGACAUGGGGGGAGGGGCAGAUGAAGGAAGAGGCUGUCCCUGGAGUUGAGAAGACAUCUCAGUGUUUUUUGCCUUGCAAGAACCUAAGUUCAAGUUCCAGAAUCCAGAACCCAGAAUCCAUGUGAAAAUGGCUUGCAUGGUGGGGAGCACUUGCCAUGGUGGGGAGCACUUGCCAUGAUGCGGGAGCACUUGCCAUGGUGAGGAGUACUUGUAAUCCCAGCAUGAAGGAGGCAGAGACAAGAGGAUUCUAAGCUAAUGGACGCACUCCAUAAAGGCCCCUCUCAAAACACAAUAUAGGUGACAUUAAGGAACAGUCCUUGAGACUGACCUCUGGCCUCCACACACAGUGCCUGUCCCUUGAGCAAAGGCACCUCCCCCACAGACACGGAAUGUAAAUAGUUUUGUUCUUCCCUUCCCAGACUGCCUAGUACAGCCUGCUUAUCUAACCGGUGUGACCAUCUAAGUCCUGGGUCUGUGUGGGGUGGCAGGAGGGGUGUCCCUGACUUGCCCGGUUUCAGCAGAGAGUCCUCAGGUCCAGCAUGCCAGAGUGGCUGGCCACCUCCCAUUUAACAGGCAAGAAUACUAAGGAGAGGGGUGUGACACUGGCCAGCAGCAGAUGAAGAGAGGAUGGGCCCAGCUACAGGGCCUGGCAUGAACACUCCCUGCAGGUGCUUGAGGAAGGGCGACCUGAUAAACCGUGCCAGGUAGCGCUCCUAUAGGGACGGAUGCAUAGUGGCACUCAGAGCCCUGUGGCAAUGGUUGCUGUGAGC
rnacentral:lncRNA from 1 species